rnacentral:rRNA from 1 species
GAUGAACGCUGGCGGCGUGCCUAAUACAUGCAAGUCGAGCGAACAGACGAGGAGCUUGCUCCUCUGACGUUAGCGGCGGACGGGUGAGUAACACGUGGAUAACCUACCUAUAAGACUGGGAUAACUUCGGGAAACCGGAGCUAAUACCGGAUAAUAUAUUGAACCGCAUGGUUCAAUAGUGAAAGACGGUUUUGCUGUCACUUAUAGAUGGAUCCGCGCCGCAUUAGCUAGUUGGUAAGGUAACGGCUUACCAAGGCAACGAUGCGUAGCCGACCUGAGAGGGUGAGCGGCCACACUGGAACUGAGACACGGUCCAGACUCCUAGGGGAGGCAGCAGUAGGGAAGCUUCCGCAAUGGGCGAAAGCCUGACGGAGCAACGCCGCGUGAGUGAUGAAGGUCUUCGGAUCGUAAAACUCUGUUAUUAGGGAAGAACAAAUGUGUAAGUAACUAUGCACGUCUUGACGGUACCUAAUCAGAAAGCCACGGCUAACUACGUG